rnacentral:rRNA from 1 species
CCUACGGGAGGCUGCAGUGGGGAAUAUUGGACAAUGGGCGAAAGCCUGAUCCAGCCAUGCCGCGUGUGUGAAGAAGGCCUUCGGGUUGUAAAGCACUUUCAGUGGGGAAGAAAGCCUUGGGGCUAAUACCCUCGAGGAAGGACAUCACCCACAGAAGAAGCACCGGCUAACUCCGUGCCAGCAGCCGCGGUAAUACGGAGGGUGGCGAGCGUUAAUCGGAAUUACUGGGCGUAAAGCGCGCGUAGGCGGUCUGAUAAGCCGGUUGUGAAAGCCCCGGGCUCAACCUGGGAACGGCAUCCGGAACUGUCAGGCUAGAGUGCAGGAGAGGAAGGUAGAAUUCCCGGUGUAGCGGUGAAAUGCGUAGAGAUCGGGAGGAAUACCAGUGGCGAAGGCGGCCUUCUGGACUGACACUGACGCUGAGGUGCGAAAGCGUGGGUAGCAAACAGGAUUAGAUACCCGGGUAGUC